UUUGCUUGUUACUUCUAAUUGAUUCUACACUCAGCUUGUAGAGGGCUUCAAAAACUCUUUAAAUGUUUAAUGUCCCUAAUCUGUGCUAGAUUUUUUGCAAGUCAAUACCGUUAUUUUUAUUCAAGCUGUAUUAAAACGCUUCUUUCUCAUUUCAGCAUCGGUCAUUUGUAAAACGAGGAGAUAUGACUUUCUUUCAGAUUUUGUCCCUGAGAAGAUAAAAGCUGAAAAUGCCUUGGCAGAAAGAAAGGUAAAUGAGAUAGAAGUGGGCUAGGUCCUUCAAAAUGUGCUGAUUGGGAUGAUAAUCCUGCAAUUGCUUAAACAAAGCUCAUUUAUUGCCUUGGAUCAUGAUCUUCCUGCUCAAAGCGCUUAGUGUACUCAGGAAACCCAUUACUUGGACAAUUAUGGAACAGAUCCAUGUGUAAUCACAUCUACCUCUUAUGGGUCUUACAACAGUUAUACCAUGUGCAUGCUGGUCUAGCAAAUGAAAAACAGUUGGAUACAUUUGAUAGAUCACCUCGUGAGAUGGCCAGUGAGCUGGUUUGAAUUGAAUUUAGAGUUCUGUAGAUAUAGUUAAUUUUUGUUCUAUGAAUUUUUCAAGCAGAUUGUUCUUAAUUCUGGUCAAGUGAUCAUUCUUUGAAUUGAAUUCUAUUUAACAGUUAUCUAUUUUAAUUUUUAAUUAUGAAUAUUAGAGUGAAAGAUUAGUUUCAA